rnacentral:rRNA from 1 species
AGAGUUUGAUCCUGGCUCAGGACGAACGCUGGCGGCGUGCUUAACACAUGCAAGUCGAACGGUAAGGCCCUUCGGGGUACACGAGUGGCGAACGGGUGAGUAACACGUGAGUAACCUGCCCUUGACUCUGGGAUAACAGUUGGAAACAGCUGCUAAUACCGGAUAUGAGCUUGUCACGCAUGUGACGGGUUGGAAAGUUUUUGCGGUCAAGGAUGGGCUCGCGGCCUAUCAGCUUGUUGGUGGGGUAGUGGCCUACCAAGGCGUCGACGGGUAGCCGGCCUGAGAGGGCGACCGGCCACACUGGGACUGAGAUACGGCCCAGACUCCUACGGGAGGCAGCAGUGGGGAAUAUUGCGCAAUGGGCGGAAGCCUGACGCAGCAACGCCGCGUGCGGGAUGACGGCCUUCGGGUUGUAAACCGCUUUCAGCAGGGACGAAGCGAAAGUGACGGUACCUGCAGAAGAAGCACCGGCCAACUACGUGCCAGCAGCCGCGGUGAUACGUAGGGUGCGAGCGUUGUCCGGAAUUAUUGGGCGUAAAGAGCUCGUAGGCGGUUGAUCGCGUCGGAAGUGAAAACUCAGGGCUUAACUCUGAGCCUGCUUCCGAUACGGGUUGACUAGAGGAAGUUAGGGGAGAACGGAAUUCCUGGUGGAGCGGUGGAAUGCGCAGAUAUCAGGAGGAACACCGAUGGCGAAGGCAGUUCUCUGGGACUUUCCUGACGCUGAGGAGCGAAAGCGUGGGGAGCAAACAGGCUUAGAUACCCUGGUAGUCCACGCCGUAAACGGUGGGUACUAGGUGUGGGGGACAUUCCACGUUCUCCGUGCCGUAGCUAACGCAUUAAGUACCCCGCCUGGGGAGUACGGCCGCAAGGCUAAAACUCAAAGGAAUUGACGG